rnacentral:rRNA from 1 species
UACGUAGGGUGCAAGCGUUAAUCGGAAUUACUGGGCGUAAAGCGUGCGCAGGCGGUUUGUGAAGACCGAUGUGAAAUCCCCGGGCUCAACCUGGGAACUGCAUUGGUGACUGCAAGGCUUGAGUGGUGUCAGAGGGAGGGUGGAAUUCCGCGUGUAGCAGUGAAAUGCGUAGAGAUGUGGAGGAACACCGAUGGCGAAGGCAGCCCCCUGGGCUAACACUGACGCUCAUGCACGAAAGCGUGGG